rnacentral:rRNA from 1 species
AACUACGGAGGAAGUGGGGAUGACGUCAAAUCAUCAUGCCCCUUAUGACCUGGGCUACAAACGUAAUACAAUGGCGUAUACAAAGGGAUGCGAAAGGGCGACCUGGAGCAAAACUCACAAAGUACGUCUCAGUUCAGAUUGGAGUCUGCAACUCGACUCCAUGAAGGCGGAAUCGCUAGUAAUCGCGGAUCAGCAUGCCGCGGUGAAUACGUUCUCGGGGUUU